UACGGGGGGAGCAAGCGUUGUUCGGAUUUACUGGGCGUAAAGGGCGCGUAGGCGGCCACCGCAAGUCGGUUGUGAAAUCUCCGGGCUUAACCCGGAAAGGUCAAUCGAUACUGCGGGGCUAGAGUGCAGAAGGGGCAACUGGAAUUCUCGGUGUAGCGGUGGAAUGCGUAGAGAUCCGGAAGAACACCGGUGGCGAAGGCGGCCUGCUGGGCAGUAGCUGACACUGAGGCGCGACAGCGUGGGGAGCAAACAGG
rnacentral:rRNA from 1 species